CAAAAUUGUUGUUACAAUCUGAGAUUUUAACAGCCAGUGCACUCCUGUUCCUCAGCUGAAUGUCCCCUUCAUUCUGAAUGUCUGCAGUAGAAUUGAACUGGGGAGCAGUUAGGUUCCAGGGAAAUAUUCACUCCUGUUUUCUUCUCUCCCCAAUCUCAGCCUUUCGGUGACUGUUUGGGCAAAGCCUCCCUUGUGGUAAAAGAUGCCUCACUUCUGGGGAGAGGAGGCUCCUCAUCUUGCAGACAAGAAGCAGCACCCACUGGUUCCUGUUCCAAAAGCCAUUAUGAACAUUAUAAACUGGCCAGGUCUGGAGGCAGGUGAUUGGAUCAUGGGGAUGGAUUUCUCAGGAAUGGUCUAGCAUCAUCUCCCUGGUGCUGUCCUUGUGAUGGCGCAUCAGUGGAAGGGACUUGCCUUGUCUCAGAAGAAACUGCACUUUCGAGUGAUGCCGAAACAGGUUGAGACUUUUGGGGGACUAUUGAGAAGGGAUGAUUGUAUUUUGCAAUGUGAGAAGGACAUGAGAUUUGAAGGGCCAGGGAUGGAAUGAAAUAGUUUGGAUGUUGUACCCUUUAAGUCGCAUGUUGAAUUGUAAUUCCCAGUGUUGGAGUUGGGGUCUGGUGGGAGGUGAUGGGGUCAUGAGGGCUGAUUUCUCAUGUUUAGUACCAUCCUCUUGGCACUGUCCUUGCAAGAGUGAGUGAGUUCUCAUGACAUCUGGCUGUUUAAAAGUGUGUGGCACCUCUCCCUGCUUGCUCCUGCUCUGGCCAUGUGACAUACCUUCUUUUGCUUCACCUUCUGCCAUGUGUAAAACCUCCCUGAGGACCCUUCUUGAAGCCAAGCAACUGCCAAUGCAAAGCUUCCUGUACAGCCUGCAGAACUGUGAGCCAAGUCAACCUUUCUUUUCUGUAUAAAUUAUGUAGUGCUUAGGUAUUCCUCUAUAGUAAUGCAAGAAUGUCAUAAUACAAGGCAUAAUGGCUUGCAUUUUAAAAAUGAAAAUUAGAUUUAUGUAAUUUAUCAUGAAAAGAUGAAAUGAGUUAAUAAUGAGCAAUAUCUACAUGUUGUCUUAGAGGUGCUGACAAUCUGUCAAGGAAUUACAUGCAUUGAUCAAGCAGUUUACCUUCAAGUUGAAUAACAAGAUAUUCUUAUCUAACAUAACAAAAUUUUGACAUUAUUUGGGAGACUGGAAAUAAUGCUACAUAAUAUCAGAUUGUCAAAGCCAAAU
rnacentral:lncRNA from 10 species